GAUGAAGAACGUAGCGAAAUGCGAUAAGUAAUGUGAAUUGCAGAAUUCAGUGAAUCAUCGAAUCUUUGAACGCACAUUGCGCCCCUUGGUAUUCCGAGGGGCAUGCCUGUUCGAGCGUCAUUAUAACCCCUCAAGCUCAGCUUGGUGUUGGGGCCUGCUGCACUGGCAGCCCUUAAAAUCAGUGGCGGCGCCAUCUGGCUCUAAGCGUAGUAAUUCUACUCGCUAUGGAGUCCUGGUGGAUGCUUGCCAUCAACCCCCAAUUUUUCUAUGGUUGACCUCGGAUCAGGUAGGGAUACCCGCUGAACUUAAGCAUAUCAAUAAGCGGAGGA
rnacentral:misc_RNA from 1 species